rnacentral:rRNA from 1 species
GACGAACGCUGGCGGCGCGCUUAACACAUGCAAGUCGAACGGAAAGGCCCCCGCUUGAGGGGGUGCUCGAGUGGCGAACGGGUGAGUAACACGGGGGUGAGCUGCCCCUGACUUUGGGCUAAGCCAGGGAAACUGGGUCUAAUACCGGGUAUGACCUCUUGCUGUCUGGAGGGGGGUGGAAAGGUGUUGUGGUUGGGGAUGGGCCCGCGGCCUAUCAGCUUGUUGGUGGGGUAAUGGCCUACCAAGGCGACGACGGGUAGCCGACCUGAGAGGGUGAUCGGCCACACUGGGACUGAGACACGGCCCAGACUCCUACGGGAGGCAGCAGUGGGGAAUAUUGCAAAAUGGGCGCAAGCCUGAUGCAGCGACGCCGCGUGAGGGAUGACGGCCUUCGGGUUGUAAACCUCUUUCACCAUCGACGAAGCCUUUCGGGGUGACGGUAGGUGGAGAAGAAGCACCGGCCAACUACGUGCCAGCCGCCGCGGUAA